UGUAAACGGUUACGAAAACACGCAAUACACACAAGUAAUACAAAGCAACCAAAGAGAGAAAAAAAAAAGGUGAUUUUCAAGUCUGUUUAUCCGUUUGUCUUCCUUCUCAUUGCCUUAUGAUUUUAGCAUAAAGAAAGAAAUGUUUGGAACGACACCAAUGAAGUCCCGAAUAUCUCAGAAAUAUUGAGAUACGGAUGAGGGUCGGAUGACAUUAAGUUUUUUUUUACAUUCGGUUUCAUCCUUUUUUUUAGAACGGUAUUAGAUCUAGGUUUUUUAAGAAAAGAGAAAGAAAAAAAUAAGAUAGCAUACCUAGUCCCUCGCAUGGUGCCGUCGUCGGGGGAAUCUGGUCGCUGCUCGUGCAUCGCUGGCCACCGAAUGAAAUGGUGGAUCGGCGGUCGCUGGAAUGAGCCCUAACAAGUCGUCUUUGGGGCUGCAAAUCAGGGUAAAAUGUGGACUGCAUUUGGAAGAAAGGAAAAUGAAAAAAGGGUUUCAAAU
rnacentral:lncRNA from 1 species